UUUUUAUACUCACGAUGGAGGAAACAGUCGUAUUUGAAGCACCUUCUACAAAAUAACGUAUGGAAGGAAUGCAUUGUUUGUUCUCUAGGUACACUCUUUGCAUUCACUCCAUCAAUAUUCGGUGUACAUUCUGGAGAUACCUUUGCUUUCGACAUUGCAACAAAAGCUUAUUCCGAAUACUACAAAAUGGUGUAUGAGUACUUGGAUUUCUUUUAUUACUGAACUGUCUUUAUUUGACAGUAGAUGUCUAUGAUGUGAUGACGUCGAUAGGAGUGAUAUGGCGGUAAAUUCAAAUCCAAAUCCAAAUAAACAAAAUUCCAAAAUGGAUAUGAAUGUGUACAUUAAGAAUGAAAUUCGAAGUCAUUUACAUGAAGAGUCAGACGCAUUUAUACAUAUAUCUAUAUAUGAUGAUGGCAAGAAGAAAAACACAAAUACCCUAUCGAAAAACUCUGAAUUAGUUAUUAAAGAAUAAUAUUUAUAUAUUAAUAGUUUCUGAAAAAUGUAUUUAAUCUUAUAAUUAAUCGACUCGUGUUUCAACUAUAAAAAAAGUUAUAAAUUGUACUUUGGCAAUCAUUUUCUUAACUUGGACUCUGUACAUAUAUCAUACAAUACACGUGCAUUUCGGGUACAAUGGCGGAAUGAAAGCAGCACUAUGAUUCGAGAGUCAUUGAAGUGGAACUGGCGGGAAAAUCCUUGAUUGGACAGAGCCUGAUUCACGUGGUCUGACCUAAGUAUGCAGUUCUAGACAAUAGAGCAUGGAGAAGGGUGUUAGGAGAAAGAGGCUCGAAGAAAGAAAAGAAUCACUUUCAUCAUCUUUUUCUAUCUUGAAAUGUAACUUGUACCUCUCACUAAAUAAAAUACUUGAUUUUGAGAAAUAAAUAAAAUUUAAUAUGAAAUUGUUAUAAAA